CACGUAGGGGCCAAGCGUUGUCCGGAUUUAUUGGGCGUAAAGGGCUCGUAGGCGGCCAACUAAGUCAGACGUGAAAUCCCUCGGCUUAACCGGGGAACUGCGUCUGAUACUGGAUGGCUUGAGGUUGGGAGAGGGAUGCGGAAUUCCAGGUGUAGCGGUGAAAUGCGUAGAUAUCUGGAGGAACACCGGUGGCGAAGGCGGCAUCCUGGACCAAUUCUGACGCUGAGGAGCGAAAGCCAGGGGAGCAAACGGG
rnacentral:rRNA from 1 species